rnacentral:lncRNA from 1 species
AUGUUUCAAUUGCCACACUCAAAGCUGCUAAUAUUGCAGAAGACUUACUACCUUCGCUUUUCCCGUGACGAAAUCAAAGAUCUGUUUCCUGGUCCUGAAAAGUUCUUGAGGCGCCGUGCAAUAUGGCUUGUUGUGAAUAAAGAUGAAAAGGUGGAUGCUGCUCCUGAAAUCCAGCAGUCACCCCCCACUGGAGGCAGCAACCUUUCAAAAGAGGAGGCCAGUACUUCUAAAUUUGUGACUAUGUCCAACCCAGAAUACAUAGUCUUCACAGACAGUGAGCUUGAAGAGGCGCGGCGCUCCUACUUUGAGCAGAAACGGCUGGGGACCGAGCACAGAGUGGCCUUAUCCAAGGAGCUCUUCUGCUGA